AUUGAACGCUGCCGGCAGGCCUAACACAUGACACUCGCGCGAGCGGCGGACGGGUGAGUAAUGUCCGGGAAACUGCCUGACGGAGGGGGAUAACUACUGGAAACGGUAGCUAAUACCGCAAACCAUCAGAUGUGCCCAGAGGUGAUUAGCGAGUAGGAUGGGUAACGGCUCACCUAGGCGACGAUACCUACCUUGUCUGAGAGGAUGACCAGACACACUGUAACUGAGAAACGGUCCAGAAUCCGACGGUAGGCAGCAGUGGGGAAUAUUGCACAAGGGGCGAAAGCCUGAUGCAGCGAUGCCGCGUGUGUGAAGAAGGUCGUCGGGGUGGAAAGCAAUUUCAGCGGGGAGGCGUUAGCCGCAGAAGAAGCACCGGCUAGCUCCGUGCCAGAAGCCGCGGUAAUAC
rnacentral:rRNA from 1 species